GCGGACGUGCCGGAGUGGCCAAACGGGAUAGGCUUAGGACCUAUUGGCUUAGUGCCUACACAGGUUCAAAUCCUGUCGUCCGCA
rnacentral:tRNA from 1 species